UCCUCGUUGAAACCAUCUAAUACAAGAAUGAUACUAAUAUUUUUCAAACCUAAAAAACAAAAAUUUUAGAAGAAGUUGAGGCUACUGAUUUGUAUAUAAAAAAAGAAGAAGAAGAGGCGGAGAAGAGUGAAUGUGGGGGUGGAGAAAGAAGAAUGGGCUGGAGAAAGAAGAAAGGUGAGGGCUGUGGUGAGGGGUAGAGGAGAGAGGGCUGGUGGAGAAGAAGAAAGGGUGGGUGUGGGUGAAGGAGGGUUGAAGAAGAUGAUUUUUUUUUAAAUUUUGUUAAAUUGAUUUUUUUAAAAGUAAAAUAUUGUUUUAACUCGCUUUUAAGCGCGUGUAAUCACGCAUAUUUCCAACUCACCAAUAUUAAUGCCACAUAAGCUCGGUCAAUGGUCAGAGGGG
rnacentral:lncRNA from 1 species